UGAAGUGGCUCAACUACCAAAGCCUGAUCUCAUUAGAUAUCAGAAGCUAAGCAGGGCUUGGCCUGGUUAGUACUUGGAUGGGAGAUCACCAGGGAAUAUCAGGUGCCACAGUGG
rnacentral:rRNA from 1 species